rnacentral:rRNA from 1 species
CUGGGUGGAUUAGUGGCGAACGGGUGAGUAACACGUGAGUAACCUGCCCUUAACUCUGGGAUAAGCCUGGGAAACUGGGUCUAAUACCGGAUAGGAGCGCCUACCGCAUGGUGGGUGUUGGAAAGUUUCGGCGGUUGGGGAUGGACUCGCGGCUUAUCAGCUUGUUGGUGGGGUAGUGGCUUACCAAGGCUUUGACGGGUAGCCGGCCUGAGAGGGUGACCGGCCACAUUGGGACUGAGAUACGGCCCAG